AUUUUGAUUAAGCAAAAACUUGUGUAUUGUGAAAUGACACAGAUGGUGUUAUUUAGGUAUGCACUUUUUUGCUCCUUAACUUGAUUAACUUGAUUUUUUUAAUGUUAUCGGACAGGAUAUAUUGAGAAAUUUGAAUUGCAUGGCAAAUGUUUUGGGGUCUCGACAUAGGGCAAAGGUUUCAUAUAAAAGCAAUCAAGUGAAAUUGGGAGUUUAUUACAGAAUUGGAACCAAAAGUUGGUGUCAUUGAGUUUGCCUCAUGGAAGAUUUUCUGGUGAUUUGAUUAGUACAAUCCGCAAUUACACUCUAUUGACAUAGCUCUAUUGGCGGCUUCUUGCAUGCAAACAACUUUGGCGCACAUGGAGGUGGUCGUAUCUUGAUCUUGUGGAAUCCAUCCAAAGUGUCUUUGGAUGUGACGGAGGUUCAUCCACAAGUCAUACAUUGUAAAGCUACUUGCAAGGUAACUUCCUUCACCUUCCUUGAUAGUUUUGUUUAUGGCUUCCACACUUUGGUUUCUAGAAGGCCUCUUUGGGAAAACAUCAUGGAUCACAACACAAAUGUUGCAUUGCCUUGGAUGAUUUUGGGGGAUUUCAACAACGUUCUAAAAUUUGAUGAGAAAAGUAAUGGGGCGGAUGUCACCCCUUAUGAAAUCAAAGAUCUUGCAAGUUGUUGCCUUCAAGUGGGACUAACGGAUGUACGGUCUAUUGGUUGCUUCCUCACAUGGACCAAUGGCUCGGUUUGGAGCAAAAUUGAUAGGGCUAUGAUCAAUGAUAUUUGGGUGCAAAAUGGGCCACAUAUUGGUGCAAAUUUUCUUCCAUCCGGUUGUCUUUCCGAUCAUUCACCUUGUAUUGUUUCCAUUGAUGAUUGUGUUAGUAGCGGUAAGAAGCCAUUCAAGUUUUUUAACGUGUGGACUAUGCAUGAAGAUUUUCUUGAUAUUGUGCAAUCUUCUUGGCAAGUUAAUGUUCGGGGGACUAAACAAUUUGUUCUUUGCAAGAAGUUGAGGAAACUUAAGGUUGCUCUUAAGGAGCUAAAUUCUAAACAAUUUGGUCACAUUUCGAGGAGGGCCAAUGAGGCGAAAUCUGAUUUGGAGGCUGCCCAAAUUCAGCUUGAAAAUCAGCCCGCUAAUCUGGAAUUUCAGCUUUCGGUUCAAAAUUUGAGGAAAAAAACUGUUGGCUUGUGUGAAGCGGAGAGGAGCUUUUAUUAUCAAAAGGCUAAAUGCAUCUUCCUUAAGCAAAGUGACAAAUGUACAAAGUUCUUUCAUUCCAUUGUCAAAAGGAACUCUAGAAGGAAUUUUAUUGCUACAAUUAUUAAAGAGGAUGGGGAGUCUUCUACUUCUCAACACCAAGUUGCUUCGGAAUUUGUAAAAUUCUAUACUUCAUUGCUUGGUACUUAUUGCCCUUCUCGGCCGAUUCAAAGGGAGAUCAUCACUAAUGGUCCGUUAGUCUCAUUGGAACAAGGUAACUCUUUGAUCCGGGAGAUUACCUAUGAUGAAGUUAAAGAUGCAGUUUUUGAUAUUGGAGAUGAUAAAUCUCCCGGACCGGAUGGUUACACUUCUUGUUUUUUCAAGAAUGCAUGGGGAAUUAUUGGUGAUGAGUUUGUGGGUGCAAUCAUGGAGUUCUUCUCUUCGGGUUCUAUGCUUAAACAACUCAACCAUUCCGUUAUUGCUUUGGUGCCUAAGUCGGAUCAUGCUUCGCAUGUUGGGGAUUUUAGACCUAUUUCUUGUUGUAACGUGAUCUAUAAAGUGAUCACCAAAAUUCUUGCAUCUAGAUUGAAGCCUAUAUUGGGGGAUAUUGUUGACCAAGCACAAGCCGCCUUCAUUGAAGGUAGAAGCAUGACGGAAAAUAUUCAUCUUGCUCAAGAACUUAUGAGGCAAUACAAUAGGAAGAGAGUUGCUCCGAGGUGCCUCCUUAAGAUUGAUAUUAGCAAAGCCUUUGAUUCGGUUAGUUGGGACUUUCUCAAGAGUGUUCUUGAAGGGUUGAAUUUUCCAUCGACAUUUGUUCAAUGGAUUAUGGAGUGUGUUACCACUCCGACAUACUCGGUUGCUUUGAAUGGAAGUAUGCAUGGUUUCUUCAAAGGCGGGAAAGGCCUUCGCCAAGGUGAUCCACUCUCCCCUUUCUUGUUUGUGAUUUGUCUUGAAUAUUUUUCUAGAUUGAUCAAGGAUGCUACAAGUAAUAGUCACUUCAAUUAUCACCCAAAAUGUGGUCCCCUAAAGAUAACCCACUUGGCUUUUGCGGAUGACUUGAUGCUUUUUGCAAGGGGUGAUGCUAUGUCCGUUGAAAUUCUUAUCGAUUGCCUUGACAAAUUUGGUUUAGCAUCGGGUUUAAAGAUCAACACUACGAAAUCCAGCAUCUACACAACUGGAAUUUUCGGGUAUGAGCUCCAAAAUAUUAUGGAAGUCUCAAAAUUUUCCAAAGGAUCUAUGCCUUUUUGUUACUUGGGUAUUCCUCUUGCAUCGGAGAAGCUCAAAGUGAGUUCUUAUGCACCGUUUCUUCAGAAAAUAGCAGGUUAUAUUGGAGCUUGGAGUCGUGCAUCUCUAUCCUAUGCCGGCAAGUUGGAACUCAUUAGGGCCGUGCUUCAAGGUGUUGAAUGUUUUUGGCUUUCUAUCUUCCCCAUUCCGGCUACAAUUAUUUCGAGAAUUGUUAGCCUUUGUCGGAACUUCCUUUGGGAAUCAAAGAAGCCAUUGGUUGCAUGGAAGAAUCUAUGCCUUCCUAAAGCGGAAGGGGGCCUUGGAUUGAAAGACUUGAAGACUUGGAAUUUAGCGUUACUUGCUAAAUCCCUUUGGAACAUCCACAAGAAGAAGGACACCUUAUGGAUUAGAUGGGUUCAUCAUGCUUAUCUUAACGGCACUUGUAUUUGGGAAGCUCGUCCUAAAAAGGAUCACUCCCCACUUUUCAAGAAAUUACUUGAAAUCAGGGAUUUUAUUUCUGCCAAAGAAGCUGGACAGCACACUGUGAUUCCGGCACAGCAACAUGAAACGAUGCCUCAUCAUUUGCAGAUUGUGCAAGGGGUAAACGGGGACACGUCCACUGAUGUUAGGACAGUUAAUGGACGAUUUUUGGGUGCUGGAACUGCCCUGCACGACCAGAUUUCUGGGCCUGCAUUCCGGAGCAAUUCUGGCCGCCAAACUGCAUUCUUCGGUAGGCAGUUUUUUGAAACUUCGACUCAAAAUCUGGGCUGUUUGGUGCAUGAUAAAUUCUCAACAAAAAUUGCCUAUGAAUACUUUAGGCAUAAAGGUACUUUGAAGCCGUGGGGAGGAGAAGUUUGGAAGCCGUGCAUCACUCCGAAGCAUUCUUUCUUGCUAUGGUUAGCGGCCCAAUCAAAGCUGCUAACUAAAGACAAACUACUCUUCUUGGAUAUUGAUCGGAGGUGUGUUUUUUGUGGACUUUUUGAGGAAACUUGUGACCAUCUAUUCUUCAAGUGCUCC
rnacentral:lncRNA from 1 species